AAUUGUUCUUCCUCUCUGAUUGAUUUCUUUCCUGUGUUAGUGGAACAAAACAGUCUGAGAAGAGGUCAAUAUACAGAAACUGACUCAGCUUGGAGUUAAUUGUGGCAGAGAAAGGUAGCCUACUAUUGGCACUCUGAUCCCCAGGCUAAGAUGCACCCUCUGCAUACCCCCAGUAUUUCAUGUAUACAACUCCAGGGGAAAGCUGCCUACCAUUUGGAAUGACAAGCUGAGGAACAGAGUGCUGGUUAUACAGUGGGACAAAGAAUUCUCAGACUGUUUUCAAAGGCAAUGGAGUGAUGGGAAGAGGAGGAGUACAGGGAGAACUUGGGGACUUGAUUGUGAAUCUCACAUGCCUUGAGUCCUGGGAUGUCAAACAAGAUCCAUUCUCAUUCCUUUUUGGGUGAUGGAGCUGCUGACUACCUCUCCAAGUCAAUUAAAUGGUUGGUAAACAGGUUCUUGGAAAUGUCUGACUGGGUGCCCAACUUGGAUAUUUUUAACCUUCUGGACACAUGGACAGAGGAAGGAUUUCAGUCGCUGGCAGGGGAGAUGGUAUUCAGGGGCGUGAGAACUGUGUUUCCCUUAUAUGGUUCUGUGGCUAAAGACCCUUCUCCCUCCAUUUCACCUGUCUAAAUUCUCACUUCCUCCUUCAUCUGUCCAGACUCACAGCUAAUCCUUCUUUUGUCCUGUUACCUGAUUUCUCUCCAUUCCUGGUCUUUCAUACUUGUCUCUUUUAUACUUGUUUCCAACUCUGAGGAAACUUCGGUUUCCAUUCCAGACCCCAAGAUGUCUUUAUCUCCA